UACGUAGGGGGCAAGCGUUGUCCGGAAUCAUUGGGCGUAAAGCGCGCGUAGGCGGCCCGGUAAGUCCGUUGUGAAAGUCAAAGGCUCAACCUUUGAACGCCGAUGGAUACUGCCGGGCUAGAGUCCGGAAGAGGCGAGUGGAAUUCCUGGUGUAGCGGUGGAAUGCGCAGAUAUCAGGAGGAACACCGAUGGCGAAGGCAGAUCUCUGGGCCGUAACUGACGCUGAGGAGCGAAAGCGUGGGGAGCGAACAGG
rnacentral:rRNA from 1 species